rnacentral:rRNA from 1 species
GACGAACGCUGGCGGCGUGCUUAACACAUGCAAGUCGAACGGAAAGGCCCUGCUUUUGUGGGGUGCUCGAGUGGCGAACGGGUGAGUAACACGUGAGUAACCUGCCCUUGACUUUGGGAUAACUUCAGGAAACUGGGGCUAAUACCGGAUAGGAGCUCCUGCUGCAUGGUGGGGGUUGGAAAGUUUCGGCGGUUGGGGAUGGACUCGCGGCUUAUCAGCUUGUUGGUGGGGUAGUGGCUUACCAAGGCUUUGACGGGUAGCCGGCCUGAGAGGGUGACCGGCCACAUUGGGACUGAGAUACGGCCCAGACUCCUACGGGAGGCAGCAGUGGGGAAUAUUGCACAAUGGGCGGAAGCCUGAUGCAGCAACGCCGCGUGCGGGAUGACGGCCUUCGGGUUGUAAACCGCUUUCGCCUGUGACGAAGCGUGAGUGACGGUAAUGGGUAAAGAAGCACCGGCUAACUACGUGCCAGCAGCCGCGGUGAUACGUAGGGUGCGAGCGUUGUCCGGAUUUAUUGGGCGUAAAGGGCUCGUAGGUGGUUGAUCGCGUCGGAAGUGUAAUCUUGGGGCUUAACCCUGAGCGUGCUUUCGAUACGGGUUGACUUGAGGAAGGUAGGGGAGAAUGGAAUUCCUGGUGGAGCGGUGGAAUGCGCAGAUAUCAGGAGGAACACCAGUGGCGAAGGCGGUUCUCUGGGCCUUUCCUGACGCUGAGGAGCGAAAGCGUGGGGAGCGAACAGGCUUAGAUACCCUGGUAGUCCACGCUGUAAACGGUGGGUACUAGGUGUGGGGUCCAUUCCACGGGUUCCGUGCCGUAGCUAACGCUUUAAGUACCCCGCCUGGGGAGUACGGCCGCAAGGCUAAAACUCAAAGGAAUUGACGGGGUCCCGCACAAGCGGCGGAGCAUGCGGAUUAAUUCGAUGCAACGCGUAGAACCUUACCUGGGUUUGACAUGGAUCGGGAGUGCUCAGAGAUGGGUGUGCCUCUUUUGGGGUCGGUUCACAGGUGGUGCAUGGCUGUCGUCAGCUCGUGUCGUGAGAUGUUGGGUUAAGUCCCGCAACGAGCGCAACCCUUGUUCACUGUUGCCAGCACGUUAUGGUGGGGACUCAGUGGAGACCGCCGGGGUCAACUCGGAGGAAGGUGGGGAUGACGUCAAGUCAUCAUGCCCCUUAUGUCCAGGGCUUCACGCAUGCUACAAUGGCUGGUACAGAGAGUGGCGAGCCUGUGAGGGUGAGCGAAUCUCGGAAAGCCGGUCUCAGUUCGGAUUGGGGUCUGCAACUCGACCUCAUGAAGUCGGAGUCGCUAGUAAUCGCAGAUCAGCAACGCUGCGGUGAAUACGUUCCCGGG